rnacentral:sRNA from 9 species
AGCCCUCUGUUGUGCCUCCCUUCGCCGAGCCGCCGCAUCGUCGGCGGGGUAGGCGAAUUGGACGCUGUAAUAGAGAUCGGGCUGCUCUU